GUGAAUCAUCAAAUUUUUGAACGCAAAUUGCACUCUCCUGGGAGAGGAUGCGUGUUUGAGGGUCAGCGUAUAAAAAUCGACAUCGUUGAAGUGUCGAGGGGGCGGUCGUGGGAAAUUGGGUCAUCUUAAAUACUUUUGAUUUAAGCGACUUAAAAUUUUGUGCUGGUUCUAUGAACGGUUCUAAGAUAUAUUUAUUUACACGUUUAAGGUAUCGAUUUUUACUAGGCGUGUGCAUGAUAUCGGUACG
rnacentral:misc_RNA from 1 species